rnacentral:rRNA from 1 species
CGGACGGGUGAGUAACGCGUGGAUAACCUGCCUCACACAGGGGAGUAACAGUUAGAAAUGACUGCUAAUACCGCAUAAGCGCACGGUACCGCAUGGUACAGUGUGAAAAACUACCGGUGGUGUGAGAUGGAUCCGCGUCUGAUUAGGUAGUUGGUGAGGUAACGGCCCACCAAGCCGACGAUCAGUAGCCGACCUGAGAGGGUGACCGGCCACAUUGGGACUGAGACACGGCCCAA